rnacentral:lncRNA from 1 species
AAAAUUCUAGUACACAUUUUCUCUUUUCUUCUUCGUCAUUAGCUCUCGCUUCAUACAUAAAAAUCUUCUUCUUCUUCCUUGUUCUUUCUUUUUUGUGUAUGUUAUUUUUAUGUUUCACAUGAUUUUCUUCUUGCUCGAGAGUUUAUGAUUUUUUUUAGUUAUGUGUUGUUGUUAUUUUAUAUUGUUAUAUGUUGUUGUAUGUUGUUG